AACGAACGCUGGCGGCAUGCCUAACACAUGCAAGUCGAACGAGACCUUCGGGUCUAGUGGCGCACGGGUGCGUAACGCGUGGGAACCUGCCCUUAGGUUCGGAAUAACUCCCCGAAAGGGGUGCUAAUACCGGAUAAUGUCUUCGGACCAAAGAUUUAUCGCCUUUGGAUGGGCCCGCGUUGGAUUAGCUAGUUGGUAGGGUAAAAGCCUACCAAGGCGACGAUCCAUAGCUGGUCUGAGAGGAUGAUCAGCCACACUGGGACUGAGACACGGCCCAGACCCCACCGGGGGGCGGCGGGGGGAAAAUUUGGAAAAUGGGCGAAACCUUACUCCGCAAAGGCCGGGUGGGUUAUAAAGGCCUUAGGUUUGUAAAGCCCUUUUCCCCGGGAUAUAAAGAAAAGAACCGGGGAAAAAACCCCCGGCUACCCCCGU
rnacentral:rRNA from 1 species